GAUCAAAGUGUAGUAUCUGUUCUUAUCAGCUUAAUAUCUGAUACGUUCCCCAUCGGGGAACUUCGAUAUUAAACUGAUUUUUGGAACUCGGCCAAGAUUCAGGGGCUUGCUCCGACUUGGCCACGGGUUGGC
rnacentral:snRNA from 1 species